rnacentral:hammerhead_ribozyme from 1 species
AUUCAGCCGAAGAGUCCCAAAUAGGACGAAGUGUGCACCAUGAAU